rnacentral:rRNA from 1 species
GACGAACGCUGGCGGCGUGCUUAACACAUGCAAGUCGAACGAAGUGGCGAACGGGUGAGUAACGCGUAAUCAACCUGCCCUUCCGAGGGGGACAACACUUGGAAACGACUGCUAAUACCGCAUACUGAAGGAGGGGACUGCGUCUGAAUAGCUCGUUGGGGGGGUAACGGCCCACAAAGGCGAUGAUCAGUAGCCGGGAUGUGAGGAGGAACGGCCACAUUUGGACUGAAUCACGGCCCAGACUCCGAAGGGAGGCAGCAGGGGGGAAUCUUCCGAAAUGGACGAAAGUCUGACGGAGCAAAGCCGCGUGAGUGAUGGCGGCCUUCGGGUUGUAAAGCUCUGGUAAGCGGGACGCGGUACCGGAAGAGAAAGCCACGGCUAACUACGUGCCAGCAGCCGCGGUAAUUC